rnacentral:rRNA from 1 species
UACGUAGGGGGCAAGCGUUGUCCGGAAUCAUUGGGCGUAAAGCGCGUGUAGGCGGCUCGGUAAGUCCGCUCUGAAAGCCCGGGGCUCAACCCCGGGAGGCGGGUGGAUACUGCUGGGCUCGAGUCCGGAAGAGGAGUGUGGAAUUCCUGGUGUAGCGGUGAAAUGCGCAGAUAUCAGGAAGAACACCUAUGGCGAAGGCAGCACUCUGGGACGGUACUGACGCUGAGACGCGAAAGCGUGGGGAGCGAACAGG